rfam:Astyanax mexicanus Tnplaced_Scaffold3151, whole genome shotgun sequence.
UCCUCGUUAGUAUAGUGGACAGAAUCUCCGCCUGUCACGCGGAAGCCCGGGGUUAGAUUUCCCGACGGGGAG